rnacentral:rRNA from 1 species
CAGCAGCCACGGGAAUACAGAGGGUGCGAGCGUUAAUCGGAUUUACUGGGCGUAAAGCGUGCGUAGGCGGCUUUUUAAGUCGGAUGUGAAAUCCCUGAGCUUAACUUAGGAAUUGCAUUCGAUACUGAGAAGCUAGAGUAUGGGAGAGGAUGGUAGAAUUCCAGGUGUAGCGGUGAAAUGCGUAGAGAUCUGGAGGAAUACCGAUGGCGAAGGCAGCCAUCUGGCCUAAUACUGACGCUGAGGUACGAAAGCAUGGGGAGCAAACAGGAUUAGAUACCCGCGUAGUCCCUGUCUCUUAUAC